rnacentral:lncRNA from 1 species
GGAGCCUUCACUAUGGUCUGUGCUGGCAAGGACUUCUGGGAGUUGCAGUGCAAGGACAUCCAGGGACCCAAGGUGGGGAACCACUGCUCUAAUGAACUGCAAAAAGCUUCCAAUCCAUUCUCAGCUAAUGGACCCUUUCUAAUGUGUUGCCUCCAAGCUUGGUGAAAUCAGGAGCCUGGCCCGUGGGCUCUUGCCCCCUGUCCUUCUGCCUGCUGACUGUAGGCAUCCUUUCUCUCUCUCUCGUCCUCUCCUGCAGGCGAAUCUCUUCUCCCUCCAGGCUUCGGCAGCAAGGUCUCCCUCUCCAGAGCGAAGGAGGGAGGGUCUGUAGCCAGCCUUGCUGGUGGCAGCCUCAACACCCAGUCGGCAGACCUUGGCCCGGGGGCUGCAGAAAGCACAGACGACCAAGUGGCGCCCUCCGCCUCCGGGGCAGCCCUCAGCACCGGGGGCGCAGCCUCAGCCUGCGGCUCGGCGGCCGGGGGUGGCAGCAAGACGUCGUGUUGCGGUUCGGCCGGUUGCGGAAGCAAGACCUCCUGUUGUGGGUCAGCCGGGUGCGGAAGCACCAAGUCGUGUUGCGGGUCGGCCGGAUGCGGGAGCAGCAAGAAGUCCUGCUGUGGGUCGGCCGGAUGCAGAAGCACCAAGUGUUGUGGGUCGGCCGGUUGCGGAAGCAAGACCUCCUGUUGUGGGUCAGCCGGGUGCGGAAGCACCAAGUCGUGUUGUGGGUCGGCCGGUUGUGGAAGCAAGAAGUCCUGCUGUGGGUCGGCCAGAUGCGGAAGCAGCAAGAAGUCCUGCUGUGGGUCUGGCGGUUGCGGAAGCACCAAGUGCUGUGGGUCGGCCGGUUGCGGAAGCAGCAAGUCGUGUUGUGGGUCAGCCGGUUGCGGAAGCACCAAGCUGUGUUGUGGGUCGGCCGGUUGCGGAAGCACCAAGUCCUGCUGCGGUUCUGGAGGAUGCUGUAGUAACAAGUGCUGCGGUUCAGCUGGAUGUGGCACCAGCAAUGGGAAAGGAACCGGCGGCUCUGACUCCAGCGGGAGCAGCAGCAAACACAGGGCCGAUGGGAGGAACAGCAAGAGGCCUUUCUCCUCAUCCAACGGAGCCCAUCAGCCCAACCGGACUCCGCCAAAGGCUUCCACCAAAAUGACCAUGUCUUCGGCCGUCUCCCAGCACACAGUCAGCGAGGGGCCUGGCAAAGUGAAGCAUAAGAAGAGAGCGACCCUGAUGGUACAGCCUCAAAGCCUCGAUGGCAGGAGGGGGGGAAGUGGAGGUGGCGGGGUCGGUGUUUUGGAGAGUUGUGGAGUGUGGGUCAGAGGGUCGGCCGCCGGGCGGCUCGUUUCCAGAUCCGCCUGGGAGACGCGGAGCCCACGUCGUCUGGGCACCUUUCCGGCACUUCCUUAAAACGAAACGUCCCUUUCUUUAGUUUUCCCAGUGUGAGCCGGAAACUCUGCUCAAAGAAAGGAGCUCGAGCAAGAAGAGGCGAGUGGAUAAGCAUAAAGCAGGUGAGGAGGGUGGGGGCCGUACUGGGGGCUGGGGUGGUUUGGGGCCUUGUGCCACGGCGAGGACACGGACCUCAAGGGUGGGAUUCAAUCAGCUGAAGAAUAACCCGUUUCAAUAGCCGGGAACCCAAGAAAGCACCCCAGCUUCACCUUGGUUCUUGAACCUUCUCUGAAGAAUGCUUGAGGUACCUUUUUUUCUUUAAGGAAGCAGGGC